GUUUCUUCCGCCAACCUUGCUGGUUCUCUGAUUUGGCUCUAGCGUCUUGAUGAAGACUGUCAAAUCCCGGCUACUACCAUGUUCGUGGCUGCGGUUCAUAAUGCCCCUGCACCCAGCUGCUUUUUGGAAGACAACAAUUUCAUAGUAAAGGGUCUUCCCAGGGAAGAUUUAGACAACCAGUCAUGUGGACGGGCUGCUGCCACAGCUGAGGUUCCAUCAUGCCAUGUGCCUCACCUCACUUUCUCAGAUUGAGAUAUGGUGAAAACGGAAGGACGUGGGGCUCAGUGGUCAGCGUGGCCGUCAGAGUCAUCGGUUCUCCAUGUCUUCAGGCCUGAAGUUCGGCUCAGAUUUGGAAACAAGACCAAAACAAUUCAUAUACAUUCGAAACUUAUGAAGAUAAAGCAUGGCAAGUAUAAGCUAUAUGUACAGAACAUCCAUUGGAGAACAUUUCCAUGCUUGUGAAUAGAUGGAAUGUACAACACCUCAAGUGAGCUUCUUCUCUUCUUAAUUAAUCCAGAUCCAGGUGUGAAUCGUUGCUGAGUGCCCAUAUUUAAAUGAGUGCCCAGAUUUUUGCAUAUGAUAGGUACUGGCUUUCUUUUGAAUAUUGUUGCAGAUGAAGUACUAAAAUCAAUGUAGCAUUAUCAAUUAGGUAUGGUUAGUAUCUAUAGCAGUAGUUGGUGAGAACUAAAUCUACCAUAGAGAGCAGGUACUGUUUACUCUACCAAGGUCUUUUAAUCAUUGAGUUAUAUCUUUUUGACAGAUAUACACAUGAUGCACCUGUUUUUUGUUUAUGAUAGGUUCUCACUUGCUUUUGAAUAGUUGGUGCCAACCUCUUAAAUUAUGGAAGACUUUCCUCAUGGCUAUUACUACAGUUGUUAGCCUCAAGCCUUUCCUGUCUUGAUAGCUCAAAAUAAUUUUUAUUUCCCAUCAUUACCAUAUGCUCUCAUGUCCUAGGCAGUAAUUUUUUCGCCAUGCCCUCAUGUAUAUUUGUGUUACAAAUUCAGCUCUGCCUUUGUGUGUUUCAGAGGGUGUUGCCGCUGAAGUCAGGUGUUUGCCUUUUCUCCACCCUGUACUUUUUGUUUACAUAAAUGUUUGCAUGUUCUGUUUCUAAAGGGUAUUUUUCAUGUUUUGUGUUGGUUGGGUUCUUUUCAUUUUAUUCCUUCCAUACCACAUGGUGUUCUGUCUAUUCUUCCUCUAUUCAUUUGUUGUGGUUGGUUGCUUCACGUCAUUUGACCUCCUAUUCCUACCAAUGCCCAAGGUGGGUGGUGAUGUUUCUGUCCUUGUAGGCGUUGCUAAUCUCAAGUUACAAACCUAGAUAAACUGUUGACUCUAUUCAUGUGUCCGUAAUCUCCAUGAAAGUAUCCCGCUCAUUGGUUUAUUUCCAGAUUGUUUGUUCUUCAUGUGUGUAUGAACAAUGUUGUCAGCAAUAUUGCAAAUAUUAAGGUUCGCUUGAAAUUUUCAGUGUGCACCCCAUCUCUGUUCUUUUAUGGUGGGGUAUCUGUUCUUCUGCACAUAGACGAAUAGGAUCUAAUCAAAUGUUUAAUUAGAGGUAUUUAUUGGUGGACUAAUUAAAGAGCUGAUCUGUUGAAAGGAUGAACGAAUUCAGGUUGCAGCCCUGUUGAAAGGAUGAAAGGAUUCACAGGUUAUAGCGCUGUUGAAAGGAUGGAAGGAUUCAGGUUGCAGCCCUGUUGAAAGGAUGCAAGUAUUUAGGUUGUAGCCCUAUUCUCUCCUUCGUGAACUGAUGAAAGGCUGCCCAAGUAGCACACCAUUCAAGUUGUAGCUCAAGUUGGCGAUUUAUAGAUCUAUAGCUAAGUUGCAUAGUGAGGUGAACAUGAAGAGUUAAGAAACUAUUGAAAUGACAUGGUUUGGUGGUGUGCUAUGCCGAAUUAUCCCAUAGGCAGCCUAUGUAGAUGUUACUUUUGUUGUUCCUUUCUCACUUGUGUUGCUCUUGAUAGAACCAUCGUGUGUUUGUGUGAUUUAUCUAAAUUUUAUCAUAUCGACUUCGUUUUUGUAAAACCCAAGAAUCAUUUCAACACCUUAUUUAUUUCUAUGUUCUACUAAAAUGUUAAUCUACGUGAGUUUCAUGGGAUCGUGCCCUA